rnacentral:rRNA from 1 species
GGUAAACGCUGGCGGCGUGCCUAAAACAUGCAAGUCGAACGCACAGUUUUCGGACUGUGAGUGGCAGACGGCUGAGUAACACGUGGGUGACGUACCCGUUGGUGGGAAUAACGUGCCCGAAAGGGUGGCUAAUACCGCAUACGCCCGUAGAUUCGGUUUCUAUGGGGAAAGCGAAGCAAUGUGCCGAUGGAGCGGCCCGCGACCGAUUAGCCAGUUGGUGGGGUAACGGCCGUAACCAAAGCGACGAUCGGUAGCUGGUCUCAGAGGAUGAUCAGCCAGACUGGGACUGGAGACACGGCCCAGGACUCCUACGGGAGGCGAGCAGUUAGGAAUUUUGGGCUAAGUGGGCGCGAAGCCUGACCCA